CAGGCUGGUGUUUUCAUAGGAUACUAGAAACCCAGCAAGUUUCUGUUUCAGGGUCUCCCAGUGAGCUGGUUCAUUCAUUCAUUCAAAACCAUUUAUGGCCUCUCUCUCCCAGGCCGAGUACUAUGCCACGCACAGAAGACAUCAAGGUGAAUGGGACCCAGUCUGUGACCUCAGAAAACUUUCAGAUUAAUGCAUGAGACAGAUCUACAAAUAAUAAAUGCAUCGCAAUGCAUCUCUAUGUAUUGAACUGUAAGAACUGGCUCUCUGUUGCAGGGGUUCUCAAGCAUGGGAGGAAAGGAAUGAGUAAAUGAAGCAAGAUGGAAAAUUACCCGGAUGCUGCUCCAGUGAUUAAGCCCAAAUGCUACAGUCCACUUCUCUCCCUCCUGGGGGCUCUGAGGCAAUGAACGGGUACGAGAGACUCCUCUCAGGACCAGUGAAUUGUAAUGAAAGUCACCCUCCACAGGACACAGCAUGAUGAGAAAGAAAGACGUACUAGAUGAUCUAAAGUCCUGUCAGCCAUAAGACCCUCUCAUCGACCUUGUCCCUAAGAGCGGCUGCCAAGCACCUCCUUGCACAGGGUUGUGACAAUGUCCUCUUGGAACAGCGGGGCAGAGGGUGAUUGCUUCCUCAUACACAGGGAUGUGACUCUGUACUUCUGGGUCCCCAACAAAGACUAGAAGAAUUACAAGAAACACCUGUUUCUCUUCACCAGGUGAUAGCUAUCUCAAAGGAAAUAUGCUCCCCUGUUCUACCCACCGGAAGCAAGUUGAGGGAGGCCAGCACACACGCUAUGUGAGGAGGUGGAUGUUAGCCGAAGCUCUCGUGGUCAUCACUUCACAACAUAUAGAGUGCCACCUGUUUUCUGCCAGGACCUUGACGGAGACCCCUACUGCCUCACUGCCUUGCUGGUAGAGCACCUACAAAGUGCCAGGAGGUUCUAGGGAUACAAUGCUGCAGAGCACAGCAGAGAAUCCGGAUGUUGAAGGGCGUGCUCGAAGAGUGAGAGGCCACUCCCAGGGCUCACAGGCAGCCACACAGUACAGAUGGUACGGCAGGGAGUGAGCUCCUAGAAACCAAGUAACAUGAGGCCCAGCACACGAACUCAACACUUCCACACCAAAAUCACAGCAUCGCUGAAACCAGCACCUCCUCCUUCUGUGCCCACAGUCUCAGCUGAGGACACCCCAGAACUUUUUUGUUUGCCCCCCUCUCCCCCUCUCAGCUCUCAUUCUGAGGAAUCACUGUGUGUUCCCAAUUCUGCCUCUUCAGUCCCUCUCGAAUCAUGCCCUCCUCUCCUUCACCACUAGCUCCUGCCCUGAUUCAGGUCCUUAUCAUCUUUGCCAAGAACUUUGCAUCUACUCCCUCCUUGACCGGUCGCUACCCUAUCAAAUCCACCCUCUGCAGCAAGGCCACCAUAAGCCUAGCCACCUCGCUCCCCUGGUGGCGGCCUCCAGGAUUCCUUAUUCCUGGCAGGAAACGGUCCAGGUGUGGCACAGAAGGCUCCCUAUGACGGGGCCCUUCCUCCCUAGCAGCCUGCCUCCCACUGCUUCCUGCUUCACCCUUGAUCUUCCGACAAGGCCGCCACUUUCAUUUCCACGUACACGUCAAGUUGUCUGUCCCCUCUGUGCCAUUUUUCAAGUUGUCCCACCCCCCCCACCAUCCCUUCCCCCACAACCUAAUUAAAUCCAACUCAUCCCUAAAAUAUUAACUCAUGGGGCGCCUGAGUGGCUCAGUCGUUAAGCGUCUGCCUUCGGCUCAGGUCAUGAUCCCAGGAUCCU